GACCCUCGGUCAGUUCACCGUGUUGUGAGUGAACAUCUGCUCCAAGGUGCGGAGCCGUUCGCAGGGUUCCGUUUGGAAGGGACCCGUGAGCACAGUGGGGAGGCUCCCCGAAGGCUCUGCGCCUGGAAAGUCUGCUCUUUUCACAGCCAGCACUGCUGUUGGUUCUGCCUGCUGGCUCCCAAAUGACUGCAGCAACUGGUAAACCAGCAGCAAUGCUCAACGCAGAAGCACAUCAGGUCGUAGCAUGGGGGCUGAGCACUGGGAAAUCAAGACAUUUCCUGUGACUGUUCCCUUUAAAAACAAUCUAAUUAAGAGCCAAGAUGUUCGAGCCCCAGUAAGUAUUCUCAUUCUGAAGCGCGAGUCUUCUCCUUUGCUCCUGAAUGCGUGAAGAGGCAUCACUUUAUCAGAAUCCCCAGUCUCACAAGGGAAGCCCCAUCCCCCACCAAUGGUGUCGGAAACAAGUGUAUCUGAUACACCAGCCACACUGCGAGCACCACAGCAAGCACUAGGCAGACCCUGAAUGCUACAACAGAGCGGUAAGAUCAGAGAUACUGCCAAUCACAUUUUAACCGACGGGAAACCCGAAGCAGAGAGACCGAAUAACUGCUCAAAUUUACCCGCGUGUCUCAGGCUCCAGAUGCCAAGAAUACACAGCCCCCUCUUACUACCAAAGAACUCUUCAAUGAAACCUCAGACAUUUUUCUUUGAAGUUUCAAAUCAUUGGACCUUGAAGCUCCCCUGGGUGAUGUAGGAUAUAGUCAUGCCCCUGGCCCAGCACUUCCUGCCUGUCCUCAUGCUUACCCAGUUUGUGUGUUCCCCUUCCCUCUGUCCCUAAAGUUCUUGACAAGGAACAGAGCCCAGGCGAUGGCUACAUUUGGACAUGUGUAUCGCUGCUCCUUGCAACCAGCAAUAAACAAGAAAGAGUAAGAGAGGAAAACUUGUUAACACCAUGCUGUAUCUAAACAAGCAAUUCCAGAUGGCAUCCUUUAUGCCUUCUGCCUCUGAUAAGAAAAGAUUGAGCAGGGAAAAUAAGCAGCAGCUGACAAGCCAUAUCCACCCAGCAUGGAGACCAACGAGGAGAAUGGAUACCAGCUCUGUGCUCUGUCCUUAGUUAUGGCUUGGCACCCAGACCAGAGAGGUCUGUCUGGCUUCAGCAGGCCCUCCUUUAUGGACCCAGUGAAUCGUGGGUGAUUAUGGGCCAACAUAUGCACAUUUCUUUCUUUGGAAACUGAGGACAAUAAUCACACCAUACGUGUUUGGUUAAGUAUUAACUGAGAUAGUCCACAUAGAGACCUUAACACAAGGAAGCCUAACACGCAGGAAGCACUUUGUGAGGUUAACAUUUGAUGCUAUUUAUCGAUCAACUCAGGUAAGCAAAUGAACAUCUUGUCUGAAGUAGCCUCUGGUACAAUUCGGAACGAACAAUCAGUAAUAGAACAUAGAACCUCCCUCAAAAUGGAGCUAAUCUUGAUGUUUUAAAAUGCCAUCUUGGAAUUACAUGUAGCUUAUGAUUCUUCAACAUGAACAGUGUUUAUGUAAAGGGCAGGAGCACACAAGUUUUAACACACCACCUUGCAAAACCCAAGUCAGUGGUACUAGCUUUCCUAGUAAACUCAUGAUGUUGGGAUGAAUCAAUAGAAAUGUUAUGGGAACAGCACCCCAACAAUGCCACAGAUGACCCAUUUAUUGUAUCUCAACCAGGAAUCCACACUAGUUUUAAUUUUCACAAUUUGAUAAACACGAAGUGCUCUAUGGCAGCUGAAAUGAGGAAAGAAUGUUAACGAAAACCCAAAGACCAAAACUCAAAAUCCAUGGUGUAACUUCUCACCCAGAAGAGAAAUCUGACUAGAUUAUUCUUUCUAGCCUUCCAUACAUUCCAGAAAAUGGCUAAAGCACUGAGAUUUGACAGAGG
rnacentral:lncRNA from 1 species